GACAAACUGGGCUCAUUUUAAAGAACAAAAACUCACCGAUUAAAUCCAGCUUGUUUAAAUUCAAGCGGAAGUAAAAAUAAGCAGAAUAAAAGUGGAUUAUUUCCCUCGUUUAGUUUUAACGCUGCUCCUCAAACUUCCAAAACAACGACAUUUCAGUCCAUUUUAAAGAGUUGACCAAAUAUUUGAGCAAUAAUGUUCAGUAUCUCUGAAAUCAGUAAACGCCCACGAACAAAACAAACCAAUCAGCUUCUUUCUACGACAUAAAGUGACGAACCUAACGGACUUUUAACUCCAUCAGCCAAUCAGAGGAGCGCAUCUUUACGCGAGCUCACACUGGGUUUUAUUGACAGCUACUUUCAUCCAAUAGAAAGUCAGCACCGUGAAAACACUCUGAGUUUGGAGCCGGUAAAAUUACCUGUCUGACCAUAUAUGGAAGUUCAUGUAGUUGGACUUCCUGUGGUGGUGGGACACCCACAUAACAGAGAAAGUUUUUCAUCAGUCAAAAGAGACGUGAUUCAAUGAAACUAAAUCUGUCAAUCUUUAUCUAAAUAUGAACAACAUCUGCUUUUAGUCAACUUGAACAUUGAGGGACAUUUUUUCAGCGUCAUAAAGACAUUUCUCAUCAUUAUUUGGUCACUUUGGAGAGGUUUUAGAAAGCUCUGUAGUCAUCUGAUGGAGAUGCUCUGUACUGCACUUUCUGAAAUAUCUCACACACACUUCUGUCUAUCAACAUGAAAUUUGGUUCAGAUAUUGUCGACAAGUGGAGGGAGAGAUCCUGUGAGUUUCAGCCUGAUAGCUCUUAUUAUGACUGAGUUAUUGCAUUUGAAAUAUGAAGUAAAAGGAGAAGAAGAAGAGAGCUUCUGUUGUUUUCUGUUGAAUCUUUCAGCAGUUCAACAGCCUCAGAGCUGUAAGUAAGAUCAACACACCUGAGAAAACCUCUGAGAGUCUGUUUGACACUGAUUCAGUGGAAAUGUAUCAGCUCCUCAUGGUCUUUGUAUUAUACACAGUUUAAAAUGGGAGAGUAUUAAGAGACAGAGGUGCACAUCAUUAAAAUGAACCCUAAGAGAUUAAGGGACCAUCUGAAAGGCAGAACAGAACAUAUGUUAGUGUGUUUGUGUGAGAUCAUCAACUUAGCAGACAGGAAACACAAACAGUGAGUCAUUACCCAUCAAUCUAACACUGAUUUCACUAACGUACCAGUUUAAACUCACAUUUCAUCUGCUAUCAUUCAUUGUACAGAACAACAUAAUCUGCAGUGUCACAAACAUCAAGCCUGUUUGAUCCAGAGGGAAUCAGUCCAGAUGUGGCUGCAGUGCUGUGGGGACGAGGCCCUGCCAGAUGUGGAUUCUGACUGUUUGACUAAAAUCCAUCUGGGACUCUUAAACCAGAGUCAUCAGGAAAUAAUCAGGUGUUUUAUUAAAGUACUCACCAACAACAAGCUGAAUGUGGGAUGUUUCCUGACGACCUGGAAAAUCACAGGUGUAGUUUCCACUGUCGGCCAUCUUUGUAUCUCUGAUGGUUAUGGAGGCGUUUCCAUUCCUCAGCUCUUCUUGAAAAUAUGAGACACGACGUGCGAACUCUGGAUCCUGACGUGGUUGAGGAGCACGAUCAAACAGGAACAC